rnacentral:rRNA from 1 species
UACGUAGGUGGCAAGCGUUGUCCGGAAUUAUUGGGCGUAAAGCGCGCGCAGGCGGUCUCUUAAGUCUGAUGUGAAAGCCCACGGCUCAACCGUGGAGGGUCAUUGGAAACUGGGAGACUUGAGUGCAGAAGAGAAGAGUGGAAUUCCACGUGUAGCGGUGAAAUGCGUAGAGAUGUGGAGGAACACCAGUGGCGAAGGCGGACUCUUGG